GAUGAACGCUAGCGACAGGCUUAACACAUGCAAGUCGAGGGGCAGCGGGGAUGAAGCUUGCUUUAUCUGCCGGCGACCGGCGCACGGGUGAGUAACACGUAUGCAACCUACCCUAUGCAGGGGAAUAACCACGGGAAACCGUGCCUAAUACCGCGUAACGCACUGAUUGGGCAUCCGAUUGGUGUCAAAGGAGCAAUCCGGCAUAGGAUGGGCAUGCGGCGCAUUAGCUAGUUGGCGGGGUAACGGCCCACCAAGGCGACGAUGUCUAGGGGUUCUGAGAGGAAGGUCCCCCACACUGGAACUGAGACACGGUCCAGACUCCUACGGGAGGCAGCAGUGAGGAAUAUUGGUCAAUGGUCUGACGACUGAACCAGCCAUGCCGCGUGAAGGUCACGGCCCUAUGGGUCUUAAACUUCUUUUGCAAGGGAGCAAUAAGCCUCACGUGUGGGGCGAUGAGAGUACCUUGCGAAUAAGCAUCGG
rnacentral:rRNA from 1 species